AUAGGGCAGGCGAAGCCCUGCCGUUUAAUUAGACGGGGGGCUGGAUGUUUGCUCACAGAUCCCGGGAACGCGAUAGCAGCAAGAGCAGAAAGCAGGGGAGGAAUCACCCCGGAGCUGCUGAACCGGCAGCUGGCAGCUUGGGGAGGGGUAGGAAAGUUUAGCCGCGGAGCAGUAACGCGAAGAAGAGCAGCCCCUGCCCCGGGCAGAGCUGGCGGGGAGGUUUGGGGAAGGCUGCUGGGCACUUUCUGAAACUCGGGCUCGCUGUAUGCCUGGGAAGGACGUGUGACUACCCAAAGGAUCUCGUUACCGUUUUCCAGAUGACACAGAGUCAUGUUGCAGCGGUGUUGCAUCAUGCAACGUCAGCCCUCGCCCGGCCCGGCGCGGCGGGCGGCCCUCCCGCUCGCGCAGCUGAUCUGUUAGAAGUGAAGCGGCUAAAAAUACCGCACGGGAUGGGCCCGAGGCUCAGCGAGCGUGAAUCGGUGCCGCUGGUGCCUGUCGAUGGAUCGUGCUGAGCUCGGCGCCGUGGGGGAGGAAGGUCUCUGCGUGGUGCCCCCCAGGCAAAGGCCUGUUACGGAGCCAAGCACCGGCAAAUCUCCCUCAAAGGCACCGAGUGGCUUCGUAGCAAGCUUGGAUAAAGGCUGGCUCCUUGCAUUUAAAACAGAAACGUCCUUGUGCUACCCAAACAGCGAGCACACAUCAGGUUUUGCACGUGGCCAGCAUUCCUGGACUGAGCGAGGGGACGGCGGUUUGGGACAUGCCACUACAUCCCAGCUCCGUUUUCCCCUUCAAACCCUUUUUGCUGCCACUCGACUCUGCAACAACAAAGUCCUGCUCGAUGCAAAGUGUCCUGCUGCAGCAGCAAGCCCUUGGCUCACCCGUGCAUCUACCGGCAGUCACGUAUUCCUGGGAUAUUGCUCUGGGGCCCUGCGGGAGGCUUUGGGCGGGGUCGAAGUGCUUUCAACAAGUAUGGAUUAGCAAGGGGAUGCUCCGAUCUGCGUCGCUGCAGCAUCUUCCCCUCCGUUUUCCCAUGCCUCACCCCAGCCUUAGAGCAGGCUGCUAACGAAGCGCGGAGCGUUUUUUUGGAUACCGCCGAGCGUUUCACCCUCCGCCACAUGCUUUGCCCCAUCGGCGCCCGGUGCCUUAGGCGAGGUGCGUGCGUGCGUGUUUUGGUUCUCGCGACGCGGAGGAUGCGCUGUGGCUUGAUGCAAAUGAGGGCUGAAGCUCUCCGGGAGGCUGGCGGCAGCGCGAGGAGGCCGGUUGCACAGCGAGGGCUGGAGAGGCGCGGGGAAAGGCAGAGGGACGCAGGGCAAGAGGCUGGGCUGCGAGCUACCGUUUAAAAACAAAUAUUCCCCUCUGGUGCCCUUAGGAUAGUUUUAUGAAAUAUUUCUAAAGAAACAAGCGUUAAGGGGAGGCUGAUUCCGGCUGCUCUGUGCCCCCGAGGGCUCUGCACAGCCCCUUUCGCUCCGGGGUGAAACGCUGAGCUCCAUCGCCGCAGGGCUGGGGCUGCCCUGGAGGGGGUAAAUGCCACCAAGAAGAUGCUGCUGGAGGUCUCUGGGCCAGUCCAGGGGAGUAACAGCCCCAAAGAGGGCACUGGGGGCAAGCAGGGUGCUGCUGGGGCUGCUCAGGAAUCAGAGCUGGUUCCCGGUCAGUGCCUGGAAGAGUAAAGCUGAGGUCUGGCCCUUGCAAGGGGAAUUAAAGUGAACGCUAAGCACUCUAUGCCCGUAAUAAAAAAAAAAAGAGAACAAGGAAAGAAGAAGUGGAGCUGCGACGCAGGCAGCGAGGGGCAGAGAUGCGAGAUAGCGGAGGCAGGGCCCGUGGCGAAGCAACGGCCCCUUCCUCGGUCAGGGAUGCUGCUGCCGAAUGCCAGAGCCGAGGGGACACGGGGACGAGGCCUGGAGCUGGGAAGGGACCCCUGCCUGGGAGGGUGCCGCGGGGCAGCAGGGAUCGCUGGCUGAAUAAGCUGAUGAUAGGGCAACUCUGACCUGCCGGCACGAGGCAUCUACGAAACGCCAAGGCAGGGAGUUUCCAGCAGAGGUAGGGAAAUAUGAAAAGUCUUGCUCUUUUGCAAGGCACUGCUGAUGUAUUAGCUGGAGGAGGGCAGGCGGUUGUGCUGACCAUGCGCAGGAAGGACUUGCUUGGACAGGAAGGGUUGCAAGGAUUGUCCGGGCAAACGGAGAGCUUCUCUUGGGAGAGGAAGCCCAGAGAAGCUGGCUUGCUUAGCCUUGCCAAACGGAGGCCACGAAAGAGCAUGACAGCUGUCCAAAAAUUCACACGGGAUGCCAAUCACUGCUUGAGCACAAGGACACCCGUGGCUAUAAGGAUAAGCUGCCCUGGAGAUGGCCAGGCUGGGAAUUAGAAGAAGGCAUCUCACCACCAGGCCUGGGAGGCUGUGCAAGAGCCUUGCUGGAGAGCACCAGAGGCAAAUCCCUGAGCUGUUUUCAAGGCUGCUGGGCCCAUGGGGAUGUUUUUGGCAGGGAUGUGGCUCCAACUGUCUUGGGACAGAUAUCCAUAGUGGCAGGGAGGCUGCUCCAGCAGGGAGGCAGAAAGCUGCUUUGCCCUGUGCUCCUGGCCGCCUCCAUGCCGCGUUGCAGGAGAAAGGCUUGGCCAAAGCACCUCAACUGCCGGGGAUCAUGGGUUUUUUUCUGCAGCCUUGAAUCUAGCUCAGGGAUGGGCAAGGCUGUUGAUAUUUAUGUCUUCUUUCUUGCUACUUCAGAUCCCGGCUACAGCUUGAACUUCUGGUUGCACUGUAGAUCUAUAGGUACCAUUCCCUCAGUGAGUGAUGAAGCCGUACAUGCACACGCGCACAUGUGCACGCGCGGAGUAAUUACUCUGCACGCUUCACUCAGCAGUUCAUUAUUUAUCCAAUAAAAAAAAAAAAGCUCCCAGUGUCAUAUUGCUGCAGUCCCGGGUAGUUCAAGUAUAAUCUGUAGUGCUGCCAAAUUGUAGAUCAGCCAGUAUUUUCUUGACAGUUCAUUAAGAGUAAUUUUUGUUUGUUGGAGCCGCAGCUCAGGUUUAUGUGUCUCCUCUUAGCAAAAGAAAAAUAAAAUAAAACCCUGCUGCCUGUAAUCACGCUUAGCAGUUUGUUUUGUGUCAAUAAUGUAACCUGAAAAAUGUGAGUUGAAUCAGAUGCCAAACAAGAAGAGGGAAAAGAAUAGUUUCAGCACUUUCUGCCUCGAGGCCGGCUGGCGAGGCUGGAGCGGGAGCUGCAGAAGGGCUGGCGGGUUGCUUCCUCCCAGCUGGGCGAUCCCCUCCGCCAGCAAAGUCCGCAUGAAACAUCAAGUGUCGGCGUUGCGGAUACCCGGCUGCGCAGGGAGCUGAAGGAGGAAAGUUGACACGACGAGUUGUGGGUCAGGACUUUGGUAGCUGCGAGGGAUGAUGCCUGGAGCACCGGUGCCUGGGCAAAGGUGCGUGGAUGAUAGGGACAGGAGACGUGUUUUUAAGGGGAUUUGGGCACUUAAAGAUUAGGCUAGCCCUAGCAGGGCUCUAGAACGGUGCCUAACGCCCAUAAACUUCAUCUGGCCCUUAAACGACUGUGUUUAAAUGUAAUGAUCUGUUUAAAGACUGGACAUUCCUACUGAUUUGCUGUUAGGAUUUAUUCCUUAAAAUGUUCCAGUUGGAAACUAUUUUGUUUUAUCAUUGGGACAGUAAACAACCUUUAGCUGCUGA